UACAGAAUUUGUUAGAUUAUCCUCAUAUGCUAGAUUAUCCAAAUCUUUGAGCACCAAGGAAAGUAGAUUUUUCCCUUCUUGAAGUCCUCCAAAGUAAUGUGUUGUGGGACUGUAUAAUGUUCAGCUGAUAGAACAGUGAAAUUCUGGGAUUUAGAAACCUUUGAAUUGAUUGGUUCUGCCAGGGGCGAGGCUACAGGGGUGCGCUCAAUAGCAUUUCAUCCUGAUGGAAGAACCCUAUUUACUGGGCAUGAGGAUGGUUUGAAGGUGUGUUCAUGAUAUGUUGCAGGUGUAUUCAUGGGAGCCUGAUAUGAUAUGAAGAACUUGGACAAGGAUAAAAGAUUUUUUAUUUUUUAUUUUAUUUUCCCCCUACAUUGCAUUGCAUGCACUAUGCUUUAUCUCUCUUUAACUAUAUUAUUAUGUGUUAAUUUCAACGUGUCAGCUUAUUAAACCAUACGGUGAUGGUUCCGGCUUGGAUGCCAAGACAAGUGAAGGCAUGGAGCACAAACUUAAUCUUAAGGAAAAUAAACAAGAGAAAGUAGAGGUUGAUGUGGGGCCAACUACCAGAUUCCGCAGUGUGUCCCCUGAUGAGUCAAAAGAGAUAAAGAAUAUAUAUAUUGACUUUCCACUGCAUUAGAGCUCAAGCUUCAGGUUCAACAAAAAUUGAGGGGAUUUCUGAGAAAACAGAUUCCAAGGAUGAUAACUUAGUAUUUGUUGCUGGUGCUACUGGUAGAGUUGGUUCAAGAACUGUUAGAGAGCUUAUAAAACAUGGAUUUAAAGUAAGAGCUGGAGUGAGGAGUGCUGAGAGAGCUGGUCCACUAAUCAAGAGUGUUGAGCAAAUGAAGCUUGAUGAUGGAACAAGUGGAGGGAAGAGUACUGGUUACUUCAUUGGGAACAAAUAAAUUUGGUUUACCUGCAGCUAUUCUCAAAAGACACUUUAUUUGGGGGUCAAGUAUCAAACCUUCAGGUGGCAGAACUUAUGGCAGUCAUGGCCAAGAAACCUGAUCUUGCAUAUUGUAAAAUAGUGGAGGUAGUAGCAGAGACAAUUGCGCCGCUGACUCCCAGGGAGGAGCUUCUUGCAAAGAUAUCAUCUCAAAGACCUUACAUUUCUUCACCAAAGAAACCGGAUGCUACAGCCAUCAGUGAUCCGGCUCCCUCGGAACCUGCCAUUGCCACAACCACUGAGAAGGAAACUGCACAACCAAAACCGGUUGCGAAAGAGUCACUUUCGCCCUUUUCCAAUUGCAUUAAGAGAUAUAAAGCAACACCACAUUACUCUAGUUGAUUGGCUUGUAGAGAUUUGCAUAAUGUAAUUUUUCUCGUAUAAUACAAUGUUAUGAAUUAUA